rnacentral:rRNA from 1 species
UUAAAUUGAAGAGUUUGAUCAUGGCUCAGAUUGAACGCUGGCGGCAGGCCUAACACAUGCAAGUCGAACGGUAACAGGAAGAAGCUUGCUUCUUUGCUGACGAGUGGCGGACGGGUGAGUAAUGUCUGGGAAACUGCCUGAUGGAGGGGGAUAACUACUGGAAACGGUAGCUAAUACCGCAUAACGUCGCAAGACCAAAGAGGGGGACCUUCGGGCCUCUUGCCAUCGGAUGUGCCCAGAUGGGAUUAGCUAGUAGGUGGGGUAACGGCUCACCUAGGCGACGAUCCCUAGCUGGUCUGAGAGGAUGACCAGCCACACUGGAACUGAGACACGGUCCAGACUCCUACGGGAGGCAGCAGUGGGGAAUA